UCCUUAUAAUAUUCCCCAAAACUUGCAGCGAUUAAAUCUGGAAAACAAUCAAUUUACUGGAAGUCCCCCUUACUCCAUUUCGCAAAAGACUUCCCUUAAGUACAUAAAUCUAGCUCACAAUAACCUUCAGGGUCAACUAAAUGACAUGUUUGGACAACUUUCUUCUCUCUCUACAUUG